rnacentral:lncRNA from 1 species
CUAUUAUACAGCCAGGCUCAGUCGCCAUGGCUCACACAAUGACCCUUCUGAUCUGGCCACAACAGCCGGAAUGGGUGCCAAGGCUUCAGUCCCCACCCACUGCAGACUUAGGUAUGCACUUCGAGUAUAUUUGCUCUUUCCUCCCCAAAAGAGGGGGAUUGAAUGCACCCCUAGAACACAUACUCCGUUUCAAGACAAACAAGACUAACUGGAGCAAACCACCUGCAAGCGCAGCUCCGGGUCUUUCCGGCCUCCUGGGAAGACAUUCCAGAAACCUUACUCAAAACCGUGAAAUCUACAAAGCCAACCUUCACCAGAUGAUCUUUUAAAUCCCUUCCUCUGACGUCAGUGACACCCAAUGCAGCUACUUUUCCUGAAAGAUGGUCAUGUACAGUCUGACACCCUAAGACUGCUCUACUGCCCAGACAUCUCCAGUUCAACUUGCCAUCAUUGCCGCACCAUAACUAAAGAGCCCAACAGGAAGUGGUUUCUCAAUUCAGUACCCGGAGACAACUGGCUUCAUUCUGCAUUCGCUGAGCAUCUCUGAUCAUAUGGUGAAUUGGUGAAGGCAACAGAAAGAACAGGAACCUGUGGCCCACCAGCCAGAGCAACCUCUGUGAGCUUCAGCUUCUGCAUCUUAAAGGAAACAAACUAAAAAUGUGGCUUUAAAAUCAGAGCAACUCUUGCAUUUUAUUGUAUUGUUUUGUUUUUGGUGUUUUGGUGUUUUGUUUUGGGGUUGUUGGGAC